rnacentral:lncRNA from 1 species
AUGCGCAGAGUCCGCGCAGGUCAAAGGGCCCGAGUCCCGGCCCUCGAGGCUGGUUGUCAGCGCUGUCCUCUUCCGCAGCGCGGGCGCGAGCCGCGAGCUCGAGUCCUUUCCUCCCACCCCUUUCUGGGGUCUCGGGGAACCAUUGCAGAAGUUGCAAAGGUGUUAAAAGAGCGAGGAAAGGCGUCACGGUCCGCGCUCCACAGAGCCUGCGGGGAAAAGUCCGUGGCUCACCUCCCGGGCCGAGACCGCCGGGAGCCUCUGCCCGCCGCGCGUGAGCCUCGCGGGCCGGUCCGCGCCGCCCGGGAGCAGCCGGGUGGCUGCCCGAGGCGCGCAGCCGCCCUAGCCGCCGCACCUCCUCGUCUCGCGCCUGGGGAGGAGCGGGGGUACAGCUCGCGUGGCUUCCGAGCCGCCCCGCUUCGCGAUCCGCGUCCCUCACCCGUCCCGCCCCGGCGAGGGCAGCCACCCCAGGCACACACGCCGGGUGCCCACGCUCGCCAGCGCCCACGCCCCGCCCUCGGGCCACCGCAGCAGAGGCCACGCGCGAUGUUUAGGGUCGUGACCGCAACGGUUAAACUUCAGCUUGCGGACAGUGUUCGUAGAGAGGUGGAGUCAGACCUCUGCCGGCUGCUGGGUGUACGGCAGCGCCGAGCCCUCCCGCGCACACAGAGCUGAGCAAGACUGAAGUUCCAAUGCUUUGGCCACCUGAUGCAAAGAACUGACUCAUUGGAAAGGACCCCAAUGCUGGAAAAGACUGAAGGCAGGAAGAGAGGGGACAUAGGAUGAGAUGGGCAUCUCAUCACUGACUCGACGGGCAUGAGUUUGAACAAGCAAGCUCCAGGAGUUGGUGAUAGACAGGGAAACCCGGCAUGCUGCAGUCCAUGGGGUCGCAGAGCCAGACACGACUAAGCGAGUACACGGAACUGAACCUGUUUCUCCCUUCUUUCUUUAGUCAUCUGACUUUUCUGCUUUGGAAUUUCUCUUGCAUCCACUGUAGCUUUUCUACCUCCUGGGACAAGCCAGCAGCAUGUCAUGCCUAGCCUGUUACUGUAUCCUCUUAGAUUGAAUCUCUCUUCAUUCCAGUCUGCCCCACCAUGUCAUGACCUAGGUAAGUCAGUCCCUUAAUAGAGACUUUCAUUGACUCCAGGGCAACUAACUAGAGUCCAGUCUCCUAACGUGUCCUUGAAGGAUUUCUGUGCUCUGGCCUCAGCUUACCUUUUGGCUGUUCAUCUUUCUCCAUGUCAUCCUGUACCCAAGGUCACACUUUCCCAUUUCUUUUGCCUUGAUCAGUGCCACUGCUCUAUCUAAAAUGCCCUCCUGUCUCCUCUAACUUUCUGUUACCCACCUUUCAUGACCCAGUUAACUUUUCUACAAAGCCUCCACCGAUCUCUGCUAAACAAAGUGCCAAUGCUCCUCAUCGGAGCUCUCAUAGUCAUUUACUCAAAUGUCUGUUGCUACAUUUACAUUCUUCCCUUUUCCACAGAUAUUCGUAUUCAUGCUUCUUGUGCUCCUUUAGAUUGUAAACUCUGAAGAAUCUUAUAUAUAUAUAUCUAUAUAUAGAUAUAUAUAUAUAUAUACACACACAUACACACACACACUAUAUAUAUAGAAUAAAUACAGAAUCUACUAUAUACUGCUUGAUACAGAGUAAAUGCCAAAUAAAUAUCAAAUAAUUUAAUUAGAACUUUUAAGAUCUAUCAAUUAUAAGUCUAUCUAAUAGUUCUGAUAAAAGACUUAAAAUGUAAUUUGAAUUAACCAUUUUGGACUCUUUACCAGCUUGUGGCUCAGCUGGUAAAGAAUCCGCCUGCAAUGUGGGAGACCUGAGUUCAACCCUGGGUUGGGAAGAUCCCCUGAAGAAGGAAAGGGUACCCACUCCAGUAUUCUGGCCUGAAGAAUUCCACGGACGCACAGUCCAUGGGGUUGCAAAGAGUCAGACACGAAUGAAUCACUUUCACUUUCACAAAUAUGGAUAAUGUCAUAGAAUGGGGAUAUCUUGAUAAGCAAAGAAAUAUUGUAAAUAAAAAUAUUGUGAAACAUCUUAAAUAUGACAGGCUUAGGAGCCUGGCUUUUAUUCUGCAGGGAAUGAAAGGAAGUUAUUGAAGCACUUUAAUCAGGAGAGUGAUGUGGUCAUAUUUGUAUUUUAGAAAAAUAAAUUUUAUGGACUGUGGAGGGGAAGAUCGAUGGUACUAUAGUACAUCAGCCCAGAGUGAUAUGGACUGAGUAAAGCAAAAUCAGUAAUAGCAUAGAUGGAAGGAAUUCAAGGGAUAUUUACGAACUAAGUUAUUCAACACAUGGCCCAAGGACAGUUGGUUAUCCAAAUGGAAGAAAAUAAAAUGGUACUUUCAUAUCACACAUAAACAUCCAUCCUAGGUAGACUGAUGAUUUAAAUAAGAAAGCAAAAUAUGAAAUGUUUAGGAGGCUGUAUACGAGACAACCUUGAUCAGGCUAGGGUACUGAAGGCUGUCUGGCCUCUGUUUCUUGACCCCUCCUGUCAAUGGUCUUCACCACAUUUGAGCUCCCACUGCCAGAGUCACACCCUGGUUCUUAUUUUCAGCACUCUGAACAGACUAGCCUCCAAAUUCUCUUACAACAACUUCUUCCCUCUGAUUUGGCCACUGAACUUGUUUGUUCUCAUCAUGACCUCCAGUCCAUUGGCCUAUAUGCUUUUCCUUAAAUCAUGUCCUGUCUUCACUUCCUCCCAUGACCAGUUUAGAUUCCACAGUCCACCUUCUCAUUCUCUUACCAGUUUUUAAACCUCCUCAGCCUUGGCAUUUCUUUGGAAGGAAUGAUGCUAAAGCUGAAACUCCAGUACUUUGGCCACCUCAUGCGAAGAGUUGACUCAUUGAA